UGGGGAAUAUUGCACAAUGGGCGCAAGCCUGAUGCAGCCAUGCCGCGUGUGUGAAGAAGGCCUUCGGGUUGUAAAGCACUUUCAGCGGGGAGGAAGGCGUUAAGGUUAAUAACCUUGGCGAUUGACGUUACCCGCAGAAGAAGCACCGGCUAACUCCGUGCCAGCAGCCGCGGUAAUACGGAGGGUGCAAGCGUUAAUCGGAAUUACUGGGCGUAAAGCGCACGCAGGCGGUCUGUCAAGUCGGAUGUGAAAUCCCCGGGCUCAACCUGGGAACUGCAUUCGAAACUGGCAGGCUAGAGUCUUGUAGAGGGGGGUAGAAUUCCAGGUGUAGCGGUGAAAUGCGUAGAGAUCUGGAGGAAUACCGGUGGCGAAGGCGGCCCCCUGGACAAAGACUGACGCUCAGGUGCGAAAGCGUUGGGAGCAAACAGG
rnacentral:rRNA from 1 species